GGUUUCCUAGUGAUGUAAUGGUUGGUUUAUACUCAGUGUAGAGUAUAGAAGCUGGCAGCCUCAGCUAAAUUCGUUUUAGAGAGGUUGAGAAGACAAGUGGACUGUAGGCUGAAGCACAAGCCCUUGGAUAGAUUUAUUCAUCCCAUCUUAUACCAUUCUGCUGGCAGGCUCUCCUUCUGCAUUUCUACACUGAGACCAAGGCUGGUCUGAAAGAAUCUCCAGAAAGCUGCCCAGCCCCAGGAAGGAGAUAAUAAAGAAUCUGGACUUUAACACCUGGCUGUUCUCCUGGUGAUUACUGAACUGAAAAGAAGGCUGCCCCAAAGAGCUUCAGAAAACCGAACCAAGAACAUUACAGGCUAGCCCCCUGUCCAGGAAAAGAAGGAAACAACAUCUGUGCAGUUAUAAUCAGGCGUCUCAACAGCCUGCAGAGGACCAAGGCCUGGCCCAAGCAGGGAGCCUGGAGCCAGAGGAAAUGGCCCCUGAGAACAGAAGACCCCCAGCCCAGAUGUAGCCAGCACCAGCCCAAGGAGCCAUGUCCAUGCAUCUGGAGGAUGGUUUGUGAGGCUGGCCAUCUCUUUCUGUGGAUCCUUUACAAAAAUAAGCAGGAAAGUGAAUCCGGAGUUGGUGACCUUCAAGGAUGUGGCUGUGGACUUCAGCCCAGAGGAGUGGGAUCUGUUGAACCGGAUCAGA